AUUCGUUCAUUUUGUUGAACGAGACUCAAAAGUCCGAGUCAGUAAAAUGAUCCGAACUUCCCAUCACUAGUUCUCUCUGUCCUCCCCUUUCCCCAUACACACAGGAGAGUUUUUCCCCACCCACAUCCUGCUUCUAAUUGGCCCUUCGCAAAGACCCGCCCCCCUUAGUUACUGUUGCUUUGUCCGACAAGCGUGGCGCUGUCACGUCACACGCAGUGAAAAAUACAUCGUGGAGCAAAGAGGAUACUGGCAACACGUCGACAGACAAGACAGAGCAGGCCUGGUUGCUUAUUUGUCUCGCGAGAUCUGGCAACACUGAUGACUACAGAUGAGACGUUAUGUACUACAAAUGAAGAAGCAAGAUCAGUACAGAUCUGUCAAUGGAGAUACAGUGCAAGCUGUGUGGAAUCAAAGACCCGUAUUGAUGAGGCCAGUGUCAGUGAAGAUGGUGUGGUCACUGGAAUCCUGGUGUUUGUGGGAAAUGUGAAGG